AACGAACGCUGGCGGCAUGCCUAACACAUGCAAGUCGAACGAGACCUUCGGGUCUAGUGGCGAACGGGUGCGUAACGCGUGGGAACCUGCCCUUAGGUUCGGAAUAACUCCCCGAAAGGGGUGCUAAUACCGGAUAAUGUCUUCGGACCAAAGAUUUAUCGCCUUUGGAUGGGCCCGCGUUGGAUUAGCUAGUUGGUAGGGUAAAAGCCUACCAAGGCGACGAUCCAUAGCUGGUCUGAGAGGAUGAUCAGCCACACUGGGACUGAGACACGGCCCAGACUCCUACGGAGGCAGCAGUGGGGAAUAUUGGACAAUGGGCGAAAGCCUGAUCCAGCAAUGCCGCGUGAGUGAUGAAGGCCUUAGGGUUGUAAAGCUCUUUUACCCGGGAUGAUAAUGACAGUACCGGGAGAAUAAGCUCCGGCUAACUCCGUG
rnacentral:rRNA from 1 species